rnacentral:rRNA from 1 species
AUUGAACGCUGGCGGCAGGCCUAACACAUGCAAGUCGAACGAGUGGCGGACGGGUUACUAAUGUCUGGGCAUCUGCCUGAUGGAGGGGGUUAAGUACUGGAAACGGAUACUACUACCGUCUUCCAUCGGAUGUGCCCAGGUGGGAUUAGCGAGUUGGUGGGGUAACGGCUCACCUAGGCGACGAUCCGUAGCUGGUCUGAGAGGAUGACCAGCCACACUGGAACUGAGACACGGGCCAGACUCCUACGGGAGGCAGCAGUGGGGAAUAUUGCACAAUGGGCGCAAGCCUGAUGCAGCCAUGCCGCGUGUAUGAAGAAGGCCUUCGGAUUGUAAAGUACUUUCAGCUGGGAGGCGUUACCAGCAGAAGAAGCACCGGCUAACUCCGUGCCAGCAGCCGCGGUAAUAC